GAACAAUGUUAAUCUGAACUAACAAUUUUCUAGUCAACUUUCAUGUGACCAGUUAACCUGACACGCACACACACACACACACAUAUAUGUUUCUAGUGGUAUACUUAUGGGGUCCAGUUGAGCUCACACACACACAUAUGUUUCUAGUGGUAUACUUAUGGGGUCCAGUUGAGCUCACACACACACAUAUGUUUCUAGUGGUAUACUUAUGGGGUCCAGUUGAGCUCACACACACAUAUGUUUCUAGUUGUAUACUUAUGGGGUCCAGUUGAGCUCACACACAUGUAUACGUUUCUAGUCUUAUCUUGGUGGGGUCCUCCCGUAUGUAUAUCACUCUUAAGUGAUUUUACAUUAUUUCAGCAUCUUUCAAUAUUUAAACUCAAGUUGUUACAGGUAACAUUUUUCAUACACACUACCUUUUCUAACUUGUGAAUCUCUCCACAUACAUGAUUACUGUCAGUUCUUAAUGUGUUCCUGUUUUUUAUAUAAAUUCCAGGUGACAAGCCACCAGACAGAGACGCUCCCUGUUGAUCAAACAUCCCAUGAGGAUUCAGACAUCGAUGCUGCUACCACACAGAUGACAAGCCACCAGACAGAGACGCUCCCUGUUGAUCAAACAUCCCAUGAGGAUUCAGACAUCGAUGCUGCUACCACACAGGUGUGUACUGUCAAAGGUGUUUCCCUUGUGGAUUAUCUGUUAACUGAUGAAACAGAUGAGGAUUGUAUCGAAGACCAACCUCUGACUCCACACUGUGAUGACAUUUUUGGAAAGCAGAGUAGGAGUGAAAACAUUCUGAUGGAUAGAGUAUCCGAUUUUUCUGAGCCUCUGUAUGAUUCAAAUGAGACUAAAGUGGAGGAAACCGAUGAAGAGGAUUCUAUAAUAGGCCAUUCCAGUGUGCAAGCAGAUGGGGAACUUGUUCCAAAGCUGAGAAGGACGAAAAGCAUUCUGGUAAACAAACUGCUGCCAAACGAAGCUGGACACCAGAGGAAUGUGCAUGCAUGUGAAUGCAUCAUGAUGAGCCAAGUUCCAAGGAAAACAGACUGUCAGCGCUGCAUUACUGCCGAACCUCAAGCCCUUGCAAAUAGAGACUGGAAAGCAGUUAAAUUCUUCAUCAAAAAUCGAAUUACUGCCCUGAGGAGAAGAAAACUAUAGUGACAGCACUUCACUAAACGGGUAGAAACAUUAGGCUGGAGGGAGAACCCCUAAAAGUGUUUGUGCUCUUUCUCUAGUAAUUAGGGGUCCAAGCCCGAAGUGGCAUGGGAACCGCAUUUGCAAGGCAGUUUUAGUAGUUUUUGUUCUCCUUGUAUUCUUCUUGUGUUGUCCUGUUAGUUAUUUUUUGUCUUCAAUAUAAAAAGCGGAUCCAGACCAAUCCAUAAUAUUAACUUUUGAAGAAAAAGUUUAUAUAAAUGUUUUUUUUCCACUUUAAAUUUAAGUUUAAAUGGACGGAUAGUUCUUUAUACUUUAUAUUCUUAUACUAACAACUUUUACCAAGGAAAUCAUUUUUGGAUUGUAAUGAGAUCAUGACAAGUUGUGAGCAUGCUUUUUUUUUAUUAUUAUUUUUACUUAUCCCUCUUUCUACUUACUUACUUGACUUAUACUUGAUUUUCAUAUACAUGUGAGAAGUAAAUGUAGUGACUCAAAUACAUGUUAAAAAAUACAUGCUCAUUGAAGACAAAGCAUUUUGUAGUUUUUUUAUGCAAGGUUUUAUGUAAAAUAUUACUGAUAGUUACCCCUAGAAACAACAAUGUUAAUUUAAAAUGGCAUUUGGGGCUGAUUUGGAAGAGUCUCCAUAGUUUUGGAAAUGUUGAGUAGGAGCUCAUUUUUUGAAUAUCAUGUUAAUGCGCUGUCUACCUAAAGAUGAUCCUUGUCAAGAUGAGGCCAAACAUGGUAGUGACUGAGCUAACCAGGGAUUUUAAUUGGUUGGUCCUGUAGAUUCUUUGGUAAUCAAGGACAAACCAGAGAAACCAUUAAAGUCUCCAGAUAGUAACAUUGGUCCCUGCUAAUGUAUAAAAACAAGGAAUAUGUGUGAGUGGAGCUCACAAGUCCUGAAUGCUAGAAACGAGCCCCACAAGUGGCGAAAAAACUAGCAUGGAGAAAAAAGUUUUGAAUUCUGUUAAAUUGAAGUGGUAUUUGUGAUUAGGAACUGCUCUUUUUAUUGCCUGAUUUUUUACAAAGGUGUAGAACCACUGUAAAGGGUGGACCCCACAAUUGGGUAAAAAAUAUGUGGACCUCUCAAAGGAGGAAAACGAGUAUGUG
rnacentral:lncRNA from 1 species